GGGCUGUAUCUCGCUAGCAGAGUGCUGGGAAGGCAGGCGGGGACCUGGACGCUCACACACCCUCGAGGGCCUCCAGCCUGCAGAUCCCUAGCCCCGGUCCCAGGCAGUGUGCAGUGUGGACCUGCUUGGCAAGGACUCUUUUUAGACUCCACAUAUUAAGUGAAAUUUCUCAAAAGAAGACAUCCAAGCGGUGAACAGAUGUAUGAAAAAAAAUGCUUGUCAUCACAAACCAUCAGGGAAAGGCAAAUUAAAACCACAAUGAGACAUCACCUGCCCUGUUCGAAUGGCUUAUCAAAAAGACGAAAGACAGCAAAUGGCAGCGUCCUUCCCAGAGAUGGAGGCUACAGGAGCUGGUGAGUGCCCCAGGCCUGGAUGUGGGACACAGGAGGUCAUGAGGAGCAACCACAGGAGCUGUCCUGUGAGAAGCUAAUAUGUGAGUCUUCGGAGGAGAUGGAGUGCCUAGGGUCAGCGGGGUUGCGUGUGUGAGUGCAGAGAAGAGAGGAGGCCGUGGGAGGCCAACACAGUGGUCAGGAUGUGAGGGGUGGAGUGAGCACUGUGGGCCUGCUGGAGGAACCUGAGGGGCAGACAUUGCCAUCUCACUGGCAGGUUGGGGAGAAGGUGGCCGGUGGCAAGGGCAUGCCCUUGGGUUAUAAGGAGGGGUUCCUGUCCAGACUCUGGACAUGUCUGGCUGGGAGACUUUGGGUAGCUUUUCUGAGCCUCAGGGUCCCUAAGUUAGAUGGGGGUGAUGAUGCCUACCUCACAGGGUGUGGGGGAUUAAUGGGCCAACCUUGGUGCUGAUGUGCAUAGAGUGUGCAGUGAGACCCCAACCUUAGUGAUGCCUGUGCCCCCAGAUGCAGCUGAAGGGUAGCACCCACCUACUGUAAUAUCAUAAGGGAGCAGGACACACCCAGAUAUUUAGGACAAAUCAGAAAUCCUCAUUGGAUGGCUCUUUCUAUGCAUGUGAACACAUUUUGGUUGGGGCAGGGCGAGGGACCUCUCAGAGCCAUGGAUGGGGCGGCCGUGAGCGGGGGGAGUUGCACGCUGGGUAUGACUUAUGGGUGGGCAUGAACUUUGUGGCCCAAAGGCCACAGCCCCUUUUGGAGUAGCCCCUUUUGUAACGGUAAAGGGUUUUAGAAGGGAUUUGUCGAUGAGACCGUGGCUGAGGUUCAUCUGAAAAGGCUCCCUGAGGAACCAAAGCCCAAGACUCGCUGGAUAGAUGUGCUCGGUGCAAACCAGGGUGCAGAGAGCACGGCAUCAGGUCCCAGGUGCCAGUCGCCAGGCCAGCCCAUGAUUAGACAGCCUCAGGUGGAGGGAGUAUAGCUUCUGUGUCCCUGCCUGAAUGAAUGGUGGCACAGGAGUGGAAUUUUGAGAUGCCCUGGGAGAAACAUAGAAGCGCUGGAAGUGUGUGGGCAGGAACAGUCUUGGAGCACCGUGUGGACCUAGUCACAGGCAAGCCCGGCUCAUGUCAUGCUUCAUUCUGCUCAUCUGUGAUGGCUGACCUCCUCAAGGCCAGCGAGGUAUCAGGACUUACAAGUUCCCAACAGCUUUGCAGGCUCUGGAGGACAGCAGAAAGGUCACCGUCCACAAGCAGCCACUGCCACCAUGGAGAGGGGUAAGCGACAUAUGCCUGGGUGGUUCAGGAGCACCACGGUUAGUCCAACCCCGCCACCCUACAGAGGAGGAAAACAUGCUGAGAAGACUUUCAGGGACUUGUUUAUGCCCCAGUUAAUGAUCUUCUCCAUUUGGCAUCCCCCGGUACAAGGUUUCCAGAAAUGUCAUCCUUCAGAUGGGAUGUGGGAACACCCAGGUCCCGAUUGCUCAAGGUUUGUCAAAGAUUUCCA